GAAGGAGGUGGCAAGCGUUAUCCGGAAUUAUUGGGCGUAAAGGGUACGUAGGCGGCUGGUCACGUCUGGGGUCAAAGGCCACAGCUCAACUGUGGGUGGGCAAUGGAAACUGAACGGCUAGAGUGCGGUAGGGGUUGCGGGAAUUCCCGGUGUAGCUGUGAAAUGCGUAGAGAUCGGGACGAACACCUGUGGCGAAAGCGCGUGACUGGGCCUCAACUGACGCUGAGGUACGAAAGCUAGUGGAGCGAAUGGG
rnacentral:rRNA from 1 species